rnacentral:rRNA from 2 species
UUGCCCUAGUAACGGCGAGUGAAGCGGCAACAGCUCAAAUUUGAAAUCUGGCUUUCGGGCCCGAGUUGUAAUUUGUAGAGGAUACUUUUGAUGCGGUGCCUUCCGAGUUCCCUGGAACGGGACGCCAUAGAGGGUGAGAGCCCCGUCUGGUUGGAUGCCAAAUCUCUGUAAAGUUCCUUCGACGAGUCGAGUAGUUUGGGAAUGCUGCUCUAAAUGGGAGGUAUAUGUCUUCUAAAGCUAAAUAUUGGCCAGAGACCGAUAGCGCACAAGUAGAGUGAUCGAAAGAUGAAAAGCACUUUGAAAAGAGAGUUAAAAAGUACGUGAAAUUGUUGAAAGGGAAGCGUUUAUGACCAGACUUGGACUUGGUUAAUCAUCUGGGGUUCUCCCCAGUGCACUUUUCCAGUUCAGGCCAGCAUCAGUUUUCGCCGGGGGAUAAAGGCUUCGGGAAUGUAGCUCUCUUCGGGGAGUGUUAUAGCCCGUUGUGUAAUACCCUGGUGGAGACUGAGGUUCGCGCUUCUGCAAGGAUGCUGGCGUAAUGGUCAUCAACGACCCGUCUUGAAACACGGACCAAGGAGUCGUCUUCGUAUGCGAGUGUUCGGGUGUCAAACCCCUACGCGUAAUGAAAGUGAACGCAGGUGAGAGCUUCGGCGCAUCAUCGACCGAUCCUGAUGUUCUCGGAUGGAUUUGAGUAAGAGCAUACGGGGCCGGACCCGAAAGAAGGUGAACUAUGCCUGUAUAGGGUGAAGCCAGAGGAAACUCUGGUGGAGGCUCGCAGCGGUUCUGACGUGCAAAUCGAUCGUCAAUAUGGGCAUGGGGGCGAAAGACUAAUCGAACC